AUUGAACGCUGGCGGAAUGCUUUACACAUGCAAGUCGAACGGCAGCACGGGGCAACCUGGUGGCGAGUGGCGAACGGUGAGUAAUACAUCGGAACGUGCCCAAUCGUGGGGGAUAACGUAGCGAAAGUUACGCUAAUACCGCAUACGAUCUACGGAUGAAAGCGGGGGAUCGCAAGACCUCGCGCGAGUGGAGCGGCCGAUGUCAGAUUAGGUAGUUGGUGGGGUAAAGGCCUCACCAAGCCAACGAUCUGUAGCUGGUCUGAGAGGACGACCAGCCACACUGGAACUGAGACACGGUCCAGACUCCUACGGGAGGCAGCAGUGGGGAAUUUUGGGACAAUGGGCGCAAGCCUGAUCCAGCCAUUCCGCGUGCAGGAUGAAGGCCUCGGUUGUAAC
rnacentral:rRNA from 1 species